rnacentral:rRNA from 1 species
GACGAACGCUGGCGGCGGGCCUAAUACAUGCAAGUCGAACGCAGUGGGGACGGGUGAGUAACACGUGGGUAAAAUCCCAGCAGAGGGGAUAACACUUGGCAACAGGUGCUAAACUGAUACUUAUGGAUGGCACCGCGGUGCAUUAGCUAGUUGGGGGGGUAACGGCUACGCAAGGCAACGAUCCGUAGCUGGUUUGAGAGGACGACCAGCCACACUGGGACUGAGACACGGCCCAGACGCCUACGGGAGGCAGCAGUGGGGAAGAUUGCACAAUGGGCGCAAGCCUGAGGCAGCCAUGCCGCGUGUAUGAAGAAGGCCCUAGGGUUGUAAAGUACUUUCAGUCGGGAGGCGUUACCGACAGAAGAAGCACCGGCUAACUCCGUGCCAGCAGCCGCGGUAAUUC